AUUGAACGCUGGCGGCAUGCCUAACACAUGCAAGUCGAACGGCGACAGACCUAGCUUGCUAGGUGCUGGCGAGUGGCGGACGGGUGAGGAACACGUAGGGAUCUGUCCUAUAGAGAGGGAUAGCUCGGGGAAACUCGGGGUAAUACCUUAUAAUAUCUGAGGAUGAAAGUAUGGGACCUUCGGGCCAUACGCUAAAGGGGGAACCUGCGUCAGAUUAGCUAGUUGGUAGGGGAAGAGCCGACCAAGGCUGAGAUCUGUAACUGGUCUGAGAGGACGAACCGUCAAACUGGAACGGGGACACGGCCCAGACUCCUACGGGAGGCAGCAGUGGGGAAUAUUGGACAAUGGGCGGAAGCCUGAUCCAGCAAUGCCGCGUGUGUGAAGAAGGCCUUAGGGUUGUAAAGCACUUUCAGUGGGGAAGAGUUUUGCCUGACGAAUAGUCAGGACAAGAGGACGUUACCCACAGAAGAAGCACCGGCUAACUCUGUGCCAGCCGCCGCAGUAA
rnacentral:rRNA from 1 species